rnacentral:rRNA from 1 species
AUUGAACGCUGGCGGAAUGCUUUACACAUGCAAGUCGAACGGCAGCACGGGGCAACCUGGUGGCGAGUGGCGAACGGGUGAGUAAUACAUCGGAACGUGCCCAAUCGUGGGGGAUAACGUAGCGAAAGUUACGCUAAUACCGCAUACGAUCUACGGAUGAAAGCGGGGGAUCGCAAGACCUCGCGCGAAUGGAGCGGCCGAUGUCAGAUUAGGUAGUUGGUGGGGUAAAGGCUCACCAAGCCAACGAUCUGUAGCUGGUCUGAGAGGACGACCAGCCACACUGGAACUGAGACACGGUCCAGACUCCUACGGGAGGCAGCAGUGGGGAAUUUUGGACAAUGGGCGCAAGCCUGAUCCAGCCAUUCCGCGUGCAGGAUGAAGGCCUC